rnacentral:rRNA from 1 species
GACGAACGCUGGCGGCGUGCUUAACACAUGCAAGUCGAGCGGAGCGGCGAACGGGUGAGUAACGCGUGAGUGACUGCCCCCCUCUCUGGGGUAACAGUUGGAAACGGCUGCUAAUACCGGAUAGUGGGGGAUGGCUCGCGUCCGAUCAGCUUGUAGUGGGGGUAGUGGCCUACCAAGGCGAGGAAGGGUCGCCGGCCUGAGAGGGGGACCGGCCACAUUGGGCGGAGAUACGGCCCAGACUCCUACGGGAGGCAGCAGUGGGGGAUAUUGCACAAUGGGCGCAAGCCUGAUGCAGCGACGCCGCGUGAGGGAUGAAGGCUUUCGGGUUGUAAACCUCUUUCGGUACAGAACGGGUAUGUGCAGAAGAAGCGCCGGCUAACUACGUGCCAGCAGCCGCGGUAAUUC